rnacentral:rRNA from 1 species
UACGUAGGGUGCAAGCGUUUGUCCGGAAUUAUUGGGCGUAAAGAGCUCGUAGGCGGUCUGUCACGUCGGCUGUGAAAUCCCGAGGCUCAACCUCGGGUCUGCAGUCGAUACGGGCAAACUAGAGUAUUGCAGGGGAGACUGGAAUUCCUGGUGUAGCGGUGAAAUGCGCAGAUAUCAGGAGGAACACCGGUGGCGAAGGCGGGUCUCUGGGCAAUAACUGACGCUGGAGGAGCGAAAGCGUGGGGAGCGAACAGG